CUGGUAUAUCAAGCAGGUUGACUUUAUCAUUGGUAACAAUCAUCGUUAUCAGCUGUACCGCAAACAUCGUUGUCAUCACCAACAUCGUUGUCAUCACCAACAUCGUUGUCAUCACCAACAUCACCAACAUCGUUGACAUCACCAACAUUGUUGACAUCACCAACAUCGUUGACAUCACCAACAUCGUUGUCAUCACCAACAUCGUUGACAUCACCAACAUCGUUGACAUCACCAACAUCGUUGUCAUCACCAACAUCAACAUCACCAACAUCGUUGUCAUCACCAACAUCGUUGACAUCACCAACAUCACCAACAUCGUUGACAUCACCAACAUCGUUGACAUCACCAACAUCAUUGACAUCACCAACAUCGUUGACAUCACCAACAUCACCAACAUCAUUGACAUCACCAACAUCGUUGACAUCACCAACAUCGUUGACAUCACCAACAUCACCAACAUCAUUGACAUCACCAACAUCGUUGUCAUCACCAACAUCGUUGUCAUCACCAACAUCAUCAACAUCAGAGGUAUAGUAGCAUAAUCAUGAAAUUACAUUUAUUAUCAGAAAUAUAUAGAAGAGCUUUACUUUAGUUUGUGUGAAUAUAAGUGUUGAUACCGUUGGGUAUUAAAGUAAAUACUGUAUUGUAGUGUUAGACCAUCCAUUCAUUCCAUAGGAAAAGCUGCUGCUGGCGAUUUAAUUUCAGCCAUUUUAUCUUACCUAGAUCAGUAGUAACCUGAUGUCUCGUGAGUCAUGAAAGACAGUUACCCAAACCGACUGGCUGGUCAGCACACACAAGAUUUGGUUUGGAGAUUAGUGGAAACCAACCUGGUCAAAAUAAUCUUAAAAUCUGGAUAUUACUUCUACUAUUGGUCAUUACCAUCCUGGAUAUUACUUCUACUACUGGUCAUUACCAUCUUGGAUAUUACUUCUACUACUGGUCAUUACCAUCCUGAAUAUUACUUCUACUUCUGGUAAUUUUAAAAUACAGAUGAUAAUCUGUCUGUUCCCUGUAUUCCAUGAUGGCAAUGACCAGUAGUAGAAGUAAUAUCCAUGAUGGCAAUGACCAGUAGUAGAAGUAAUAUCCAGGAUGGUAAUGACCAGUAGUAUAAUAAUAUCCAGGAUGGUAAUGACCAGUAGUAGAAGUAAUAUCCAGGAUGGCAAUGACCAGUAGUAGAAGUAAUAUCCAGGAUGGCAAUGACCAGUAGUAUAAGUAAUAUCCAGGAUGGCAAUGACCAGUAGUAGAAGUAAUAUUCAGGAUGGUAAUGACCAGUAGUAGUAGUAAUAACAGCACUAUCAUUAAUAGUAUCCUAUAUAGAGCAGAAUAAUAACAGUUUAAAAUAUCAGGAGGAAUAGUUUUUUGACUUGGUGCUUUUUGGGGUCUGACAUGGCGUCCGUUAAAAACUCAAAAUCUUCAUCCAAGUUGGCCAAACUCAUUCGGCCAUAACUGCCCCUUUUUCUCCCCUCAGAACUGACACACCUCGGUGUCAUCCUGGCUAACACAUCCUCAUGUUUAGACAAAAUAGUGAUGACUGGAACCCAUCAGAGACAUUACAAAGACCAGGUCAAUGGUACCCUAAACCCUAUUCCUCAUGUACCCUAUUCCCUAGAACCCUAUUCCCUAGAACCCUAUUCCUCAUGUAGCCUAUUCCCUAGAACCCUAUUCCUCAUGUACCCUAUUCCCGAGAACCCUAUUCCCUAGAACCCUAUUCCUCAUGUACCCUAUUCCCUAGAACCCUAUUCCCUAGAUGAGGAAUACAGAUGUUGCAUCUUAAUUUGAGCCAGUUUGCUACAACAGGAAAAUAAACCUUGUGGAUUAUAAUUAAUGGACAUUUUUUAAAAGGGUUGAUAAAACAUUUUCGUAAGGGAAAAAUCAAGUCUUACAUUUAAAAGUGGAAAUUAGAAAGUUCAGAAGCCUUGGGAACAGGGUGCCACCCUGGCCAGAAAGUAGUGUCCUGUUUGUCUAGGGAACAGGGUGCCACCCUGGCCAGAAAGUAGUGUCCUGUUUGUCUAGGGAACAGGGUGCCACCCUGGCCAGAAAGUAGUGUCCUGUUUGUCUAGGGAAUAGGGUGUGAUUCGAAGAUUGUCUUCCAUCAUAGUAAUAAUAUAAUUGUCAACCUGUCAACAUUCGUACUGCAACACAAAGACAUUCCGACAGCAUAGCGACAAAAUGGAACCAAUGUUGCCUGCACACGUACGGGGCGACCAGUGUGCGUGGCGACCAGUGUGCUUGGACAAGUGGUGAUCUCAUGGGAAUGCACGUAUGUGUGUGUGUGAUUUAUCUUGCCACUGUUCUCAGAAAAAGACAGAGACGACACCAAAUCAAAGGCUCAGUGUGUGUGAGCAAGGACCACACGCUGAAAAAAACAGGUCAUCCUCUGUUUGUGGUCAAGUUUGUCAUUUAGUAGAAUGUAAUUCUCUCUCCCUCGUUGGCUAAACAUUGGUGGAGCUAGGAUCAUAGCCCGUGCACCAGGACCACCUCAGAUCGUCAUAGAAACCACGAGGAUCCAGUAAUCCAACCAUAGAUACCGUUGAUUACUGCCACGGGGAGGUUGGAGAGAGAGAGAGAGAGAGAGCUGCUUGUAACUCAAGCCCAGUUCCUCACCUCGAACUCUGGGUAGAUGAGGACAGCGGAGUGGGUGAUGGUGCCCUAUUCCCAAUGUAGUGCCCUACUUUUGACCAGGGCCACAUACCAUAUAAAGGGCAGUAUACAUACACAUAGGGCUGUCCCAUAAAGCCUCUGGUCAAAAGUAGUGCACUACUCAGGAAAUAGGGUGUAAUGUGAAACGCCAAGCAGGCAGACAGUGAUAACAAGGCUAUAGGAGGUCAGAGAGGAAGGAUCAGAUAUCCUCCAUUUUGUUUUGCUGCGCUGGGUUGUUGGCUGUAGAAGACUGGGUCCAGUGUGAUGGAAAAUAGAUAGCCUCCUAUCUGUAGAGGUGACUGUGAACACACACACACACACACACACACACACACACACACACACACACACACACACACACACACACACACACACACACACACACACACACACACACACACACACACACACACACACACACAGUUUAUAGAAGAACUGGUUCAUGAUGGCACUCCCAGAUGAUUGGAUGCUCAGUGUCCAUGUCUAUCCAUAGCAUGUUGAGCUGUUUCCAGAAUGUUCCAUCUACUCCUCUCCUUCAGUUGGUGGAGAACGGAACUCUCGUUCUCCAUCCGUUCCGUGGAAGACGAGAUAAAAAGAGGAAUACACAUGCUCUGUUUUUGUCUUUCAUCUCCAGCAUCCUGUCUUUUCUUUGCCCUCCUCUUCUCCUCUGUCUCAAAAGAGCAGAUCCUAAAUGGUGGCGUCCGAUGUCCCGUCGCUGAAGGUGACAUCCCGUACCCCGCAAACAUAUUUACCAGCCCUCUUGUUUACCUAUUUCAGAGAAACAUUUCCGGUCACUAAAAUAUGGAACAGGGUCCCAUUUGGGAAACAGCCAUCUUUUUAUACAAUCACCUACUUCUACAGUAUCUGUCUCCUACGGUGUCUGCCUCCUACGGUGUCUGCCUCCUACGGUGUCUGCCUACUACGGUGUCUGCCUCCUACAGUAUCUGUCUCCUACAGUGUCUGUCUCCUACAGUGUCUGUCUCCUACAGUGUCUGUCUCCUACAGUGUCUGUCUCCUACAGUGUCUGUCUCCUACAGUGUCUGCCUCCUACAGUAUCUGUCUCCUACAGUGUCUGCCUCCUACAGUAUCUGCCUCCUACAGUAUCUGUCUCCUACAUACUCAGACAAUAUCCUUGCAUAGAUAUUGUAUCUGGAAAACAUUCCAAUGUUCAGUCUACUACCCUCCAUUUAAAACUACCCUCUCUCUCCCUCUCUAUUUCUUUCCCACAUAUUCUUUCGGUCUGCAUUUCUCUGUCAUAUUAUCAGACCUCUCUCUCUCUCUCUGUAAUAUUAUCAGACCUCUCUAUCUCUGUCAUAUUAUCAGACCUCUCUCUCUCUCUGUCAUAUUAUCAGACCUCUCUCUCUCUGUCAUAUUAUCAGACCUCUCGAUCUCCGUCAUAUUAUCAGACCUCUCUAUCUCCGUCAUAUUAUCAGACCUCUCUAUCUCUGUCAUAUUAUCAGACCUCUCUAUCUCUGUCAUAUUAUCAGACCUCUCUCUC
ensembl:lncRNA